CAGAAAAAUUGCAAAUUCCUCUAAUUACAAGCACUAACAGCUUAGCCUAUUGCCACACCACUUUGAAGCCAACCACCUCAUUGUCCUUAACGAUUGCCUUUCUAUCUACGUCGUCGUUGUGGUUGCCAUUCACCGCUUUGAAGCUAUCGACGUUGCCGUUUCGAUUGAACCGGAAGCAUGGAUCCCUAAAUAGCUGCCUGCGCUGCCUCGUUCCCUUCUUAGAAAAUCAUACUCUUUUAGGGUUUCCCGAUCUUCAUAGGCCAAAAGAAUUAGCCGAUUCAAGGAAUUCAAUUUGGUAAAGAUUCAACAAUUUUCCCAAUUCAAAUCCCAUAAAUUGAGGUAAAAAUCUCUGAACGGACCA
rnacentral:misc_RNA from 1 species